GGCUUGGGCUGGUGACGCGUGCGCCGGCCGGCCGCCGAGGGGCUACCGUUCUGCCUCCGACCGGUCGUGUGUGGGUUUACUCGGAGGUGCUUUGCCUCUGAAGAAAAGAGGCGGGUGGACGGGGUGGGGGGGGGGGUGGGAGGCGGGGGCUUGUGGAGUUGCGCUCACGCUCGCACCUGCCGGUCCCCGCCCUGACCGCGAACGCUCAAGGUUGCCGCACGCAGGUUUUUCCUGGUACCACAGGCCCCCUCCCUUCCCCAGGCCUCCCUGAGCGCCUCUGCGGGCCCCUCGGGCCCCACGAGGGGCGGCUGGCGGGUGGGGAGUGUGACCCAUCCUCGGUGAGAAAGCCUUCUCUAGCGAUCCAAGAGGUGUGCCUUGGGGUACGGGAUCCCCCGGCCUGCCGCCUCUGUCUCUCUCUCCGUUAUGGUAGCGCUGCAGUAGCGACUCGCUUGCAGAGGAACCCUCCUCAGCUUCCCCCUCGACGGGGUGACGGGGGGAGAGCGAGGGUUCCGCCGGCCACCGCGGUGGUGGCCGAGCGCGGCUCGUCGCCUACUGUGGCCGGCGCCUCCCCUUUCCGAGUAAGGGGAGGAUCCCGCCGGCAGGGCCCAGCGUCCUAGCGGGUUGGGACGCGGCUGACAGCGAGCGAUGGCUGCGCGCAGCGUUCCGUCCGGCGAGUGACCCCCCUCCGCCGCGAGUCAGCUCUCCGCCCGCUCCCUUGCCGAGUCGCGACCGGUGCGGACGACGGCGUUUGCGUGGCACGUGGUCGGGCCGCCUGGCCCUGGGAAAGCGUCCCACGGUGGGGGCGCGCCGGUCUCCCGGAGCGGGACCGGGUCGGAGGAUGGACGAGAAUCACGAGCGAUGUGGCCCUGGCGUUGAGUUUGUGGCUGUGGUCGCUUCGGGGCCCCGGUGGCGGGACCAGGGGCUCGUGAGGCAGGUCUUGGUGGGUGCCGAGGGCCUUCCGGCGUCCCAGGCGGGGCGCCGCGGGACCGCCCUCGUGUCUGUGGCGGUGGGAUCCCGCGGCCGUGUUUUCCUGGUGGCCCGGCCAUGCCUGAGGUUUCUCCCUCAGCCGCCCCUCUGCGGGCUCCCAGAAAUACUAGGCUUUAGAAUUUCACCAUAUGAAUUUUGGGAGAGAGGAGCACAGUUCAGCCCAUAACUAACACACGACGGAAUGAAGUUGAUAAUAGUGAGACCUUGUUGGUACAAGACUAUGUAACAUAACCUGCGCUUCUCAACAAAGAAUUGCUUUUCUGACUUCUGCACUCAAUAGCAAGACAAAUCUCUCCUCUGCCUUCUCCUUAUCAGACUACUCAACAUGAAGGCAAUAAGAAUGAAGACCUCUAUGUAUAAUAAUUGACUUCCACUUAAUAAAUAAGGUUACUUGGUACACUGGUCGACAAAACCUUGAAAUGUUGAUGUUUAAGGGCUGUUGAUUGCUGGCAGCAAAGAAGUCCAACUGUGCUGGUACCCGAGAUAGCGUCUCCACAUUUUCUUCCAGGAUCAUCACCUUUGUUCUAAAUAGCUCCCACAUAGUGUGAACAGAAGUCAUAUGUUUUAGAUUUUCUGCCUUGGCACCCAGGAAACCAGUAUGAUUGAGUAAACAUAUUAAACUUCCUCUGCAUUUCCAGCCUGAACAGAUGUUGAGUACAAGCUGAUCCACCUACGUUCAACCUGAGAGAGUCCACAUCCACAGACUGUUUCAUUUCCCUUUUUCAAUUUACAUAGAAGCAUAGAUUCUUGCUGGCAUAUACAAAUGCGCCAUUUAAGGCAAUCAAAAAUGGUUCCACAUCUCAUCUGAUUUCCACAAUUGUUGCUGUAACGAUGGACUACUGAGGAGAGAGACAAUUUCUCUGGCACAUCUUCCCACAUUUUAGCAACAUGUUCAUGGAGAGCCAAUAUUCAGUAAUUACAGCCCAAUUCCUCACAAUUUCACAAUUCGCUAACAAUAUGCAUUUUCACAAUGUAAAGCUGAUUUUCCUUUAACCAAAUCAAACAUGAAAAGAUAGCUGCAUGCAAUGGGCAAUCUAGAUCAUUAGAAGAUUGAUGUAAAAUUAGAGGACACUGAGACUGGAAUAGAUUGCAAACUUCAGGGAGCUCAGAAAACUUGUAAACUCUACAUUUUGAGGAAAUAUGUUGUCGAUGCUUUUGC
rnacentral:lncRNA from 1 species